rnacentral:lncRNA from 1 species
GCAAACAUUUAUUGAUUUAAUCUUCCUGACGACUCAGGAAGACGGCAGCGAGCCUGUUUCUCAGGUGAGGAAAUCAGCUCUGUAUUGGAUAAGUUGCAUGCCAUCUAAAUAAUCAGUAAUGGCGUCGUCCCUUGAAUGCUGGAUUUUCUGAUAGCUACUUAUCUGCCCCAUCCAUUUUAUUACCUGUAACUGUGGACAGGGCAGCAGUAUUCUUUCUGGUGUAAUGUGCUACUUCUCAGCUAUUCCUCAGCACAGCCCAAGUAUUAUUACCCAGAUGAAAACAAACUGAUAGGAUCCCAUCCGAUCCAAAACUUGAGAGAGGCUUCAGGAGAGAAGAAGCCAUGUCUUAAGCAUCGUGACAGCCCAGAGCACAGUCAACGCACGAAAGCAUAAGUGGGUAGAGAUUUGAACUGACUAAAGCUCCAAAGAACUAUAACUUAAUAAAAUUACAUUACACACACACACACACACACACACACACUCCAUCUUUAAAUAGUCUAUUUAAAAUUGUAUGUGCUUUUAACAGAGGCUAUCACAAUAUAAGGUAUGUUUCAGGAUAACAUUGAGUGUCCACACUGCACUCUGUGCUAUCCCAAGGAUUUUACUCAUACUAGGUUAUCUUGGGAACAAGUCUAAGCAGGCACUGGCACUUCAAUUACUUUACAGAGGACAAAACUGACUGAAGUUAACUUUCCCUGGGGUACAGCUGGUGAGUAGUGGGUAGUGGUUUGAGCUUGGUGACAUUCAGAGUAUGUGUUCCUAACUGUUCUUCUGCCCUGUCCCCACGGACUGAAUAUCAGACAUUGCCCUCAGGCCUCACUGAAUCUUUCCAAUAGCCCAGCAACAGACUUACACUCAUAGAAACUGGUGGUGGCCUGGUCAGUUGCAGUUCAAUAUUCUAGAGUAUAUAAAGCAACCUAAUGAAUUGUUGACAACUAUCUUAUUCCAUGGAGAACACUCAUCCUGUAACAAGUGAACAAGUUGUUGAAAGAAAAUGAAAAUAUGGUUACAUUUUGUUUUCGAUAAUGAAAACUUUGGCUUUAUGGCCCAUUAACCUUGUCAUUGGCCACAUUUUAUUUUCGCCACAUACAAGCUCACAGCCUCGGUGCUACUUUCAUUGGUUGUCACUAAGGCAUUUUAUGUCCAUCUAGCAUCCACUGAUAUUUCCAUUUUACAAAGAACUGUGAAGGGACAUUUACAAGGUCUUGAAUUCUUAAUUAUUUUAUUACCCUCCUAAUCUAUGUUUUUUAACGAGUUUGACCAUAAGUACAAUAGCACAGCUUCUGGCUCUAAGAUCAGAGCACGGUGGCCAUUCCAGGAUUCUGCUUAACUGGCUCUCACAUUUCCCUUACUGCCUAACUGUCCCUCUUUGAUGACCACCCCUCUUGUCAGCAUGUAUAAAGAGGUUCAUGUCUAUGCAAAAGUAUGUUCCUGCACCCAGCUCUCCCACUGCCUAGCAUCUUAACUCUCCUAUGCAUAGCCUAUCAUUCAAAAUCGCAAUCUUCAACAGGGCAUAAGGCAUAGCUGCUGUCCCGCCAUACUUCCAGGGCUUGGCAGAUCUUCCAUAAUACUUCUCUCAUUUAACAGUGCUGCUUUUUUAAAUGGAAGAUCAAUAGGAAAAGUGACAAAUACUUUAGUGGGCUCAUUAUAAAACAGAGCAGCCAACAGUAAAAUAAGUGUGAAAAGGGCUCAACUUCAUAAAGCACAAGACAAAUGAAAGUCUCAAAGACCACACAUUAUAUGUAAUCAGUAGAUGGCCAGAAGUAUUAUGCCAGAGAGGGGCAACUGGAUCCUACAUGCAUUGCCAAAAGGAGGGAAGCUGCUCUCCCCUUUUAAAAAGGCAAGUGGAAGGAGAUACUAGAAUUGAUACAGGAGUUCUUGAAGCAGUAACCCCACCCUUGGGCUAUACCCUACAGAUGUGAAUAAUGGUGUACACAGAAGUCCUGGUCAUUGUACAAAGAACCCAAAUUCAUGGAUGGUAAAAUGUCUAAAGGAUAUUCAUACAAUGGAAUUCAGCACUGUCAUGGGAACAAAUGACUGAUACACACAGUAUAAAUUAAUCUCAUUAGCAUAUACUGAGUGAAAUAAGCCAGACACACACAAAAGCAGAACAUAUGAUCUCAUAGCUAUCAAUUAUAGGAACAGAGAGAACCAAGACAGGCAGCGUGAAAAGCCAGGAUGUAGCUACUCUUGGGUUCUAUAGAGGGUAAACGGGGAAGAGAGUGCCCUUAGAAUGCUGAGCACAUUCUAGAUUUUGGGAUUUUGGUAGAAGUGCUGCUCAAUUUUUAAAACAUUUUACAGCCCUUUCUGUCUGUUUUAUUAUACACCACACACACAAACACACACACACACACACACACACACACACAACACACACACACACACACACAAUGUGAGCAGGACUCAGAGUCCUCAGCUUUCUUUGCCACAAGCGUACCCUGAGCACCAUGCUUUGAAUGCACUUGUGUACACAUCCCUUCUGACAGACGAGAUGUUGCCAUGGAGCUGAAGCCUCUGUAGUUUAGAGCAACAUCCCGCUAUUAUACAUCUACAGCAGAGGUAAGAGUCAGUGUGGUGAUAACUACUCCUGCAUCUCAACUUUCCUCGACUUGAUGCUUCUUAACUUCACAGUUCGAUGCCAUAAAAGCACCUAGUGAACCUAUUCUUGCUUUUCUAACAUUCAUAUACCAAUACUUGAGCGCCUAUGUGGUACAUAAGCUUCCCUCAGUCCUGCCCCUUCUAGUAGGUGUUUAUGAUGGAACAGUAUCCAGGGAAGCUUGUGAGAAAUGUAAAUACAAAUAAAUCCGUAUUUAAUAAGUAUAGUGAGAUACAUACCAAACAUCUUGUAACUGGUAGGUGUGAACUCUGGCACGAUAAAUCUAAAUAUUAUUAUAUUGCGAUAAUGGCUUUUCAAGUAUGUUUCAACAAUCAAAAUCAUGUCUAGAAUACAUUUCCAAAUAUACGUACAUGCCUAUAAGUUCCUUUAGGACCUUGUUUCAAAGCUCAGCUACUAUCCUGCAGUUUGAAAGCUAAGUAACAGAAUCUGAAAAAGACACAGUGAUCUCCUUGCACAGACUGUACCUCUAACCAUAGCUCCUUUUAAGGCAUAGCAUCUGAACUUUUGCAAAAAGAAGCUCAAAGCGGUUAAGAAAAGGGAGAUUGCAUUUCCUACCUGGAUACCUGCUUCUGGUCCUAGUCACAGCUUCUCACAAUCUUGAAUCUCAAUUUCUCAGGUGAAUUCACCAAUCUGACAACGGGCCGCCGGCCGCGGCAGCCGCAGCGGUGGCCCGGCGGUGCGCGCCGGUGCACGUCCCUC